AUUGAACGCUGGCGGCAUGCCUUACACAUGCAAGUCGAACGGUAACAGGUCUUCGGAUGCUGACGAGUGGCGAACGGGUGAGUAAUACAUCGGAACGUGCCCGAGAGUGGGGGAUAACGAAGCGAAAGCUUUGCUAAUACCGCAUACGAUCUCAGGAUGAAAGCAGGGGACCGCAAGGCCUUGCGCCCACGGAGCGGCCGAUGGCAGAUUAGGUAGUUGGUGGGAUAAAAGCUUACCAAGCCGACGAUCUGUAGCUGGUCUGAGAGGACGACCAGCCACACUGGGACUGAGACACGGCCCAGACUCCUACGGGAGGCAGCAGUGGGGAAUUUUGGACAAUGGGCGCAAGCCUGAUCCAGCCAUGCCGCGUGCAGGAUGAAGGCCUUCGGGUUGUAAACUGCUUUUGUACGGAACGAAAAGACUCUGGUUAAUACCUGGGGUCCAUGACGGUACCGUAAGAAUAAGCACCGGCUAACUACGUGCCAGCAGCCGCGGUAAGAC
rnacentral:rRNA from 1 species